rnacentral:tRNA from 1 species
GGGCCCGUAGUCUAGUGGUUAGGAUGCCGCCCUAGCUCGGCGCAAGGCGCUGGGCGGCGAGUACAAGAUAGUUGAUGAAGGGGUUCCUAGGAGCGGCGGUGGUCCCGGGUUCGAAUCCCGGCGGGCCCA